rnacentral:rRNA from 1 species
GACGAACGCUGGCGGCGUGCCUAAUACAUGCAAGUCGAACGCAGUGGGGACGGGUGAGUAACACUUGGGUAACCUCCCAUCAGAGGGGAUAACACUUGGAAACAGGUGCUAAACCGAUAUUGAUGGAUGGACCCGCGGUGCAUUAGCUAGUUGGUGAGGUAACGGCUCACCAAGGCUACGAUGCAUAGCCGACCUAGUGAGCGACUCUCCCUCCCUGGGACUGAGACACGGCCCGUACUCCUUCCUCCUUCCCCCUAUUCCCUUCUUCCAACCUUCACGAAAGUCUGACCCAGCAACGCCGCGUGAGUGAAAACCUUUUUCUGUUCAUCACACUCUGUUGUUAUAGAAGCGGUAUCUAACCAGAAAGCCACGGCUAACUACGUGCCAGCAGCCGCGGUAAUAC